rnacentral:lncRNA from 1 species
AUCCUGCAGCCUUAACCGCGCUAUAACCACUUGCAGGCAUAUAAUAUCACCACUACCAUCAAUUAUCACAAAGCAGGAAGUUGCUUCGCAAAUAUGAUGUUAAGCAAGUGGCUUAGUAUUAUAUGAGUGCAUAGAAAUAUUAAAAUUACAAUUAUUUAAUUGAGUGGUUAAAUGGUUUUAUAUUCAAGCGAAUUUUUGUAGGGACAAUCUAUGAAGCAAUAUCUAAAAGAUAAACGGUUCAGAUAAUUAAAAUGCAAUGCAGAGUAAGUUCUAUAAGAGUGUCAUUCAAUAUUGAAGCUCUUAGUAUAAUUUUCCAUAUAUAAAAGUAGAAGGUCUUAAAAGUGAAACCUCAAAAUCCCCAAAAUAACCUUGGUUAAUGAGAAUAUUAAAACAGAAAAUAUUUUAUUACAUAAUGUUAAAUUAGUACAUUCACAACUUAUUUAAAUGAAACUAGCCUCUUCAUACGCACUUCCUCGCCUGCGAUAGGUUUUUUUUUUAAAUUUAAAUUUAAAUUUAUUUUAGAAUUAAAAAAGAUAAUGGGUAGUUAUAUUCCAUAAAAAUAUGAUCAAUUAUCUGAUUUUUCUUUUAGAAUUAAAAAAGAAUAUGGUCACCAUCUUGAUUCUCCAUAACUCGUAACUCUCACCGGAGAAGAUCAGAGUUCUUACUUUUGAACUUCCAAAUCCAGCCAUCUCCAAUCUCAGAUAAGCCAAAAACCAAGUUGUUUUAGGGUAUGAUCAAUCUCCAGCAACCUUAACCGAACCUUGAUUGAGCUCCGAUGUAGCCCGAUUUCACAGUAUUAAGAACGCUCAGCCUUAAUUGAUCGAACCUGGCUCUGAGGCCAUGUUAGUGUUUUGUAUUUUAUCUGAGUUACGGAAUAUUGAAGAGAAAAGAAUGAAAGAAUGAAGAAAACAGACUGAUGAAUGUUCUUUUACUCUCUAGCUGAAAUUGCAAAGAGGAAUAUGUUUCUCAUAUCAGAAUGAGCACACAAAACAUGUACUUCAUAAUCGUUAGCCUUAGUUGGAUCCACACACAUCAUAUCGAAUCUCAGCCACACAUCUAGCUACAUUCUAGGAUCACUACACGUGGCUAUUUCAGCCUUACAUUUUGGAGCCUCACAUCUAGAGGUGUCAAAUUGGCCGUGCCGGGCCGUCCGAUCCCAUUUAAACUCGUACUUUUAACGUUUUUGUGUCAGGUUGGGCCGGCCCAUUUAAUCUAUUGAGCCGUGCCGUGCCGGCCCAUUUAAUAAAAUCAUUGAUCCCGGCCGGCCCAAAGCCCAUGUCCAUAUCGAAACGGGCCGGGCCAGGCUCGUGCCGUGCUCGUGCCAUAUUUGGGCCUAAGAACCAAUCCAUUUAAUUUGAAUUUUUUUCAUUUGAUUUUUUUUUUCCACUAGAUAAUUCAAAUUAUAAACUUUAAAAAUAUAAUUAGAGGCAAGAAAUGAUGAACUAUUUGAAAAUAUUAAUCAACCAAACAUCCAAACAAUAUGAAAUGGCGGAGGGCAAAAAGUGUCUAACUCCACAAAGUCCACUUCAAUUUUUCAUCUUUAAACAACUUAUUAUUUUAUAUGUGAAAAAAUGUCUUACUUUGAUUAUAAGAGAAAUGUAUACGUAAUAUGUACUGAUUAGAUAUCAAGUCCAAUAUUGUUUAAUUAAUUUAUAGUUGAUAUGUUUAAUUAAUUAAAGAUUCAAGUAAUUUUCCUAAAAUGAUAAUUUCCUAGUUGAUAUGUUUAAUUAAUUCCAUAGUUGAUAUGUCACACGUGGUCUUACGGUUAUACUUAUAUUUAGGGAUAUUUUGACUAAUUUGCUCAACUCGGACCUUUGUCUUAUAAAAUUAUUUAUUUGGUUUUUCUGUGGAAACUCCUUUGGGGUUCGUUUUCUUCUCCAGCUGCUCUAUUCAACUUGUUUUCCUAUAUAUAUAGUCCUCCAAUAGGAAGUUUCUUUGUAUUAGGGAACGUGUUACUUUUUUUCGUUUUUCUUUUUUUCGUUUUUUUAAAUGGUAGUUGUAUCUACAAAGAAUUAUUUAUUUAAUUACAUUUUGGUAAACCGGAUGUGAGAGGCCGGAAACCCCGUUAUCUCUGCAACUAGCCAUCAAGAGUUAUCAGAAUUGACUCAUUUGACUACUUCCAGUUCUAGCAAUGAAAUUUCUGGGAGGAAGGGCUUGCGUAGUUUCCUGUUCACAUGUUUAUCUCUGCUGAACUGAAUGUUAUAUAUUAGCUAGCUAGCGUCAUACUGAGGUGCAUCGAGGCUUCAUCCUUUUGACAACUUGCAGGGUUUUGCAGGUUUUUUUAUAUAGAAAAUUCGGCAUAAGUUCAAUUCUUAUGACAGAAUUUGGGUGCAAUCCACAUAUUUGUUGUUAGUAAUUCAAGUCCUUUGACUUUUGUCCCAUGUAGAAUUACUUACCUUUUUUUAAUUUUCAAGGUUUAUAUUUUGUUUUCUUAAUUUUUUUAAUUUAUGUUGUGCUUUCAAUUUUGCCCCUAAGAGCAACUCCACCCCUUAGGGCAAAGUCUAAGGCAAGGGCAAGCAAGGGCUGACACUAUUCACGUGAAUAGUGUCAGCCUUGCCAUUUGUGGUUCCACCCACAAGGGCAAAGUUUAGGGCAAGUCUAGGGCAAUUACUAUUCAUUGUACUUUAUUUCCUAUUUUUUUAAUACUUUAAAUCAUUAAUUUUGAUAAUCUUUUGUAAUUAAAUUUUCGGAUAAGAUUUUCGGAUGUGAAUCUCGGUUGCCACGUGUCUUAUUCCAGAUAAAAUUUUCGGAUAUUCAUUAAUAAAAAUUAUAAUCUCAUAUUUCCGAUAAAAUUUUCACCCUCUAAAAUUGUGCCGCGUGUCCCAUGUCAGAUAAGAUUUUCAGAUAAUUUUAAAAAAUUAUAAUGUCAUAUUUCAGAUAAGAUUUUCACCCUCUAAAAUUGUGCCACGUGUCCCAUGUCUGAUAAGAUUUUCAGAUAUUUUUUUACAAAUAGUGAUCUCAGAUUUCAGAUAAGAUUUUCACCCUCUAAAAUUGUGCCACGUGUCAUCUCUAUCUUCUGAAUCCCUCUAUAUAACUACACCAUCAACACCACUCCUCUCACACAAUCUCUGAUAUAUUCCUUCAUUUCUCAUAUUUUACAAUUUCCCAUUAUACUCUCAAUGUCAAACUUCAGGAGGGUGUUGGAGAGGCAACAGAAAGAAUGGGAAGAAAUCCGGCGUAGACGUGAGGAAGAAGAUCGGGACGCCGAUGAAGAAGAGGAAGAAAUGCUUGAAGUAGCGGCGGUGUGUAUGAUGAAUCAAUCAAGCCAACACCAUCGUCGUCGUGCCCCGAAUGUGGACAAACGCAGAGAGUCUCGGGGUAAGAAUCUCUUGGAGGAUUACUUUAUCCCAAAUUCGUUAUAUCCUGCUCAUAAGUUUCGAGAGAGAUAUAGAAUACAGCCACAUUUGUUCCAAAAAAUCAUGCAUGAUAUUUGUAAUUACGACACAUACUUCAUUCAAAAGCAUGAUGCUGUUGGAGUUUUGGGUCUUAUCCCGGAGCAAAAACUUACAGCUGCUUUGCGGAUGCUUGCUUAUGGGGCAUCUGCAGAGCAGGUGGAUGAGAUUGCAAGGAUGGGAAAAUCUACUAUCCUAGAGUGCUUGGUGAGAUUCUGUGAUGCAGUGGAAAAUUUGUACACGAGGGAGUACCUUCGCAAACCCACUCCGAGGGACCUGCAAAGGCUUCUACAAAAAGGCGAGGCUCGAGGUUUCCCAGGAAUGAUCGGAAGCAUUGAUUGCAUGCAUUGGCAGUGGAAGAAUUGUCCUACUGCGUGGCAAGGAGAGUAUGGGAAUCGGAAGGGCCAAAAAAGUAUCAUUUUGGAGGCCGUAACUUCAUUCGACACUUGGGUUUGGCAUGCCUUUUUUGGGGUUGCCGGAUCUCAGAAUGACCUCAAUGUCCUUGGUCAAUCCCCGGUGUUCGAUGAGGUAUUGCGAGGUCAUUCCCCUCAGGUCACAUACCAAAUCAACAAUACCGUAUACUCUGGGGCCUACUACCUUGCCGACGGAAUUUAUCCUAGGUGGACGACAUUCGUGAAAACAAUUCCGAAUCCCCAAUCCGAGAAGGAAAGAAGCUUUGCUUCCUUUCAAGAAGGUUACAGGAAAGACGUGGAAAGGUGUUUCGGUAUCUUGCAAGCUCGUUGGGCAAUUAUCAGGGGUGCUGCUCGGAUGCUAGACGAGGAGGUGCUGAGGAGUAUUAUGAUGACUUGCAUCAUCCUCCACAACAUGAUUGUGGAGGAUGAGUAUGACUACGAUGCUCCAGAGGUGUUUGAACCCGAUCCUAUGAACACGGCGUUGACAAGAAUAUAUGAAAGGCCGAUAGGACCAAAUGGACUACCAUUGGAGCCCGAACCGUUACUUCAGGAUGGUCGAUUCAACAACCCCAUGAUUGAUCGUUAUCAAGAAAUGCAAUCUUCAUAUGUUCACGAAAGACGUCAAGUUGACUUGAUCGAGCACUUGUGGCAGAUGAAAGGCAAUCACAAUGGAUGAAGGCUAGAUUUGUGCUUUGUUUGGAUUUAUACUUUUUUUUAAAUUAUGCUUUGUUUUUGUGUGUUGUGUUUUGUGGAAUUAUUGCGAGGUCUUUUUUAUUAUUAUGCUUUUAUGUAUGGUUUGUUUUGUGUGUUGUUUGCAAUAAAUGAAGGUUUGUUUUUAAUUAAUCUUUGUGAGGAAUGCUCAAAUGUUUUUAAUAAGUAGUCCAAUUAUAGAAUGCUUUUUUGAUUUGAAUAAAAAAGAAACAAUACAACAAAUUAAAGGAUAAUACAACAAUUUAAAAAAAAUACAACAAUUAUAAAAAAAUACAACAAUACAAUCUAAUGGUUUUCAUCAUUUAGCCAAUCCGUAUUGCUAGGUCCGUCGUCAUGGAAAAGUUUUCUUCUCAUCACAUCCCUUCGUUUAUGCUUCCAAUAGGCCUUUGUUUCAGGAGACAUAUGGCUCGUAUCCAUAGCCAUGAUUUUCAUCUCUUUUUCAUCCUCGUCUUUUUCUUUUGCAUGUUGCUUUUCAAUUGCAAAGGCUUCCAAUCGUGCCUUGUCCGCUUCAUCUCUCCUCAAGUCUCUCUCCAAUCUUAGAGAGUUGUUCUUAGCUAUUUGCUCGAAUAUUUGAACACAAUCAAUGUUCGAAGUGCCCCCUCUCUUGGCCUUUGCCGCCUUUCUCCCAAUAGGUCUCGGCGGACGUGGGAGUGGUGACUCCGUUUCCAUUGGGGAGUCCAAUGGUGAAUCGGUUAAUGGCGAUUCGUGGAGCGGCGUCUCAUGCAACACAACCGGGGGUGCGAUAAGAAUAAUUUUGAAUCUGGAACAAUCCUUGACAAUUUUCCAACAUUGGAAAUGCACAAAACCUUUUUUCCCUUGUCCCAUGGCACCGAACCACAUUUGUGCUUGUAUGAUCUAUUCAAAAUAAAUAAUUGGAAGUGCAUUAAAAAAAUAUACAAUGCAAGAAAUUAUAAACUAUUUUGAAAUGCAAGAAUAAAAUUGAUUAUGUAAAUAAAUAUAGACAAAUUGAAAAUGCAAAAACAAAAAAUAAAGAUUAUGCAUGAAAUUAUAAACAUAUUUGAAAUGCAAGAAUAAAAUUGAUUAUGUAAAUAAAUAAAGCCAAUUAGGAAAUGCAAAAAUAAAAUAAACAUUGUGCAACAAAAAGAAAUAGAAUAUGCAAUUAAAAAAAAGUUACAUUAAAUUGAUUAAAAUGACAAUUAAAAAUAUUUUACCUCAUCGGAAAGAUUCGCACCGCUCCGAAUGUUCUCCUUUGCUUUUGUCAAGGCAUUUCUCCAUUUCCCUAACUCUUUGUUUAGAAUUUUCCAUCUACUAGACAAAGCCAUUUCGGUCCGAAUGGAACCCGAUCUUUGACAAAAUUCUCCAUGAAUUUUGCUCCACAUAUGAUGGAACUUCAUCUCAUUGCCCGUGAUAGGGUCAUGACUAACGUUCACCCAAGACUCGCACAACGCAAUAUCUUCCUGGGUUGACCACGAGCCUCCGAUUUCAACAGAAGAUGCCAUUUGUUUAUUUUCUACAAAUGGAAAGUAGUACAAAAAUGUGAGUGGGUAGUAAAAAAUAUUAGAAGGAGAAGAGUUUGUAUGGAAUUGGUGUGGAAAGUGGAAAAUAUGAGUAGAGAGUAAAAAAUAUUGGAAGGAGAUGAGUUUGUAUGGAGAUUUGGUGUGGAAAAUGAAUUAUGUGAGUGGAGAGUAGAAAAUAUUGUAUGGAGAAGAAAUUGUAUGAAGAUUUCGUGUUGAAAGUAGAUAAAAUGGUUAGGUAUUUAUAGGGAAAAAAUACAUACAUUUUUGGUAUUUUUUAAAAAAAAAUUUCAGAAUUUUUUAGAAUUUUUUCGGAUUUUUUCGGAUUUUUUUUAAAAUUUUUUUGGCCAAAAAAAUGAGAACCGUAGGAUUUCUGAAAAAAAUCCAAUCGGAGCCACCCAGUGCCGACACGUGGCAUGUAACCGUUGGUGGUGACGUCAGCGCACUUCAGUCAAAUUUUUUUACCGUUGGCGCGUGUAAUACACGCGCCAACGGUAAAAAAAUUUGAAUUUACUGCGCUGACGUCGUCGUGAUGUCAGCGCUGACGUCACCUGAACUCGGGCUCGAGCCCAGUCAAUUUUCGCCCUUGGGCCUGCCCGGGCUCGUGGGACCCGCAGCUUGCCCGGGCUGCUUUGCGCGCGCUGGAGCUGGACUUGGGCUGAUUUUUGCCUUUUGCCUGGGCCAACCCCUGGCGCUGUACAUGCUCUAAGAUAGAAAUCAGGACCUAAAAGACAGCAAAAUAUCAAAAAUUGCGUUGAACAAUCUUCAGACGCCAAGAAUAGAAAGAAUCGCAAAAAUCGUAUCUUCCACAAUCAAUUAUGGUUCUGUCAAGCUGAUUUCUGCAGAUUUCACGCUUCUUAAUUGUCGAGGGUUUAGGGUUUCAUUUUAGAGUUGAAUUUGCCUUUCGUCUUCUUCAAUUGCAGCCAGUGGAAUUUGCCGUCGUUUGGGGAUUCUCACCUUUCUUCUCCAUCAAUUGCAUUGCCUGUGUUCCAAGUCUGUUGUAUAUUUACCUCUUUUGUAGGUGGAAAUCUUUGACGAUAACAAAACCUGCUUGUUGAACCAAUUUGUAUAUGUAACUACUGUGCUGAACCAAUUUCUUUUUGUUUUCAUUUUCUAAUUGAGGACCCCAACUAUGUUUUUUCAUAGGUACUAUGUUCCUUGUGUGAUAUAAUUUCAUUCACACCAAAUACUAAGAUGGGUACACUAUUAGAGGUUACCUGUGCCAUAGUACUGUUAGAGGUUACCUGUAGCUUUGGAGUUAUGCUGCUAGAGAUGCAAUUAGCAAAGCUAAAACCAUGGAAACAUGACUUCUAUGCACUAAAACUAAAACCAUGAAAACAUGACUUCUAUGCACUAUAAGUCAUUACAUAUGACUUGUGUAAUGAGAAGUUUGCUAUUUGUAUUGUAUAUUAAUCUUAACUAAAAACCCAGCUGGAACAGCAGAAGUCCCCUCCUAGCUAUGUCAUUUGGUGCUACAGUGUUGGAUGCAUUGUAUCUUAUAGGUUAUUUAUCAAAUUCAUACAACUUUCUAAAUGUAGAAGCUUUUCUGAUCUUUGUACACUUGGGUCCUGCAAUGCAUAUACAACACUUUAUGUGGCGUUCAACAUCAGAUCGUGAAGAGAAUGCCUAAAAAGGAUCUCACUGAGGAGGCGAUCGUGAUUGCGUGAAUUCAUUUGCUGUUUUUGGCUAGAGUUAUGAUUUGUACCAGCCCAAAUUUUGUGUGUGUAAAUGUCAUGAUCUGUACAUAUGUAUUGCAUUUAAUGUUUCCUCUCUCCCUCCUUCAUGUUAAUAACUUGAGAUUAUACUUGUGAGUUUUACAGUCAUGUUCUUGUUUUGUCCAAGCAGUUAUGUAAAUCUUCAUUUGUGCCUUCAUUAUCACAUGUAUAUGCCAAACUUCUGAGAAGAAAAUCCCAAACAAUGUGUCAAGUACCUGUGUCGUAGGUACACGGUGGGAGGUUACCUGUAGACUAGGUUUCAUAUCAGGUCGACGUGUAAAGUACCUGUGCCAUAGGUACACUGUCAAAGGUUACCUGUAGCGUUGGAGUUAUGCUAAUAGAGAUGCAAUUAGCAUGGCUAAAAUGACAGAAAUAUGAUUUUUAUGUACCACCCAUAGCCGUUGGACCCCGCUAAAAUGUCCAAAACCUAAAAUCAUAUUCUGUAAAAUGUAAAAGCCUACACCCUUAUAUUAUGUAUACAACCACAAUCCACAAUGAACUCCACUGAAAACCCAAAUCACAGGGGAUUCUCUAAUCAAGAUCACCACCAACUAAAAUCCAAUGUACCUCCAACUCUAACAUAUAUAUAUCCACCAAAUUUUUGUUUUCAUUGAAUACAGACAUGUACAAAACGCGAACAUCCAUGUCAUCUUGUGAUAAACAUGCUUAGUGGUUUCCAAUUGCGUAUGUCAUCUCCAUUUCGCAUGAAUUCAACUCUUUAAAUCGAGAGCAAAUUUGGCUGCAUAAGUCCACGUACUUGGUAUCCUUGAAAAUCAGUACUGAAUAAAUUUUCAAACCGAACCAGCAUUUACCAACUAUCAACUCGUCCAUUCCUGUUUAAAUACAAAUAAACAAAAUUAAAAAUAACAAGAGCAAAUACCUGUGCCGAAGAUAUAUACAAUUAAUUAACUCACAAUUUGAAGUAUAAUACAUGACACAAUGAAACUAUGCACACAAAUGAUUAUUACAGAAGUUGGGUUCAAAAGCUGCAAGUGAAUAGGUCCUCCAUGACUUAUAGGUGACAUAUGCACUGUACCACAGGUAUAUGCCAAAUGCUUCAGAACAUAAUCCUACCCACUGUGUAAAGUAGCUGUGCCAUAGGUACACACUCAAUGAGUUACCUGUAGGUUAGGUUCUACGUGAAGUGCCCUAACAAAUCACAAAGUGAUAGUUGUUACCACUGACAAAUUUUGGUAGAAAAACUACAGUACUUGCAUAACCUUUAUGACCAAUAGUUUCAAACGCUUCAUUAUAUGCUCUUAUGGAUGAGUGCUUAUCUAAUGAAUAGACAUGAGAGGGACCCUAAACUCUUAUGUUAAAUACACUGCACAAAGCUUGGACAAGAUGUUGUGCUCUCUGUUUCAGCCCAAGAUUGGCAAGUAUUCCAGAAAUCGAUUAAAAGAGUACUGAAGUUGCUUUAUGUAAUGAAUAGACAUGAGAGAGAGCAAAUUUAGCACAAUCCAAAGGCAACAUGCAACAGUCUACAACGUUGACAAUCUUAAAUUGUUAAUCAUGAUUCAAAACAAACAAUACACGACAAAUAAGACAGACGGCGACAAACCAAAAUACAGGAUGUUGAGGAUUUUACCACAACGUACCUAUAGCAUAGUUAAAAGAUCAUAAAUUACCUAUACAACAGGUUCUAGUUGAUGAUUAAACCCAGUUAUGAUAUUUCUCUAUUACAGAUUCAUAAACCAUCAAACAAAGUCGGAUUUGCCAAAACAGAUUUGCAGCAAAACCAUUCACCAAUAAUUGAGAAAAGCAACAACAAACACUCUCGGAAAUCAUCAGGAACAAUCCAAAACAGAAAAGGAUGAACGUACGCUGAAUGAGAGAUUUUACCUGGCAUACAGGAACUGUCAAUUGACAACGCAGUUUCUAAUAAUCCAACAAUUUGGGGUUAUUCCAUCUGUAAUUGUGAAUUAUUAGAAGAAACCCACAAAAAUUCCUGUUAAAGAACCAAAAAAUCAGUGAAAAUUGGCAAAGACGGAGCAUGAGUUUUGGGAUUUCUGCGAUUUGGGGGAUCUGAGAUACGUGAUUUUGGGUAUCUGAGAUAUGCGAUUUUGAUGAACGUUCUUUACUUUCCGUUUGUUAAUAAUGGCAGUAGUUGUAAAUAAAUUAAAUUUUGUGGCCACACUAUUUGCUUAGGUGGCUACACGACUAGGCUUUAGGACUGGAAUUAAUAGGUAACAAUUACUGUCCUCCAAUCAAACUAUAUUCUUGAAAUUGGUAUCGAAAAAAAAAGAAAAAAAAAGUUGAUAUAGAUCCAUAUUUUCAUUGAGAAGUUGGGCUUAAUCUCGAAUUUGGCGACUUUAAUACAAGUCCUUUGACUCUUGUGCCACAUAGGAUUACAUUCAUUUUUAAAUAUUUUCUGAUGUAAUCUUUUUAUUUUUAUUUUUUAAAAUCAUUUUUUGUUCCAAUGUUGCCCAUUAUACCUUGAAUCGGUUAAUAGUAAUUUAUUUGAUAAUAAUUAGCCAUUUAUGACUGUCAUUGAAUAGAAAAGGAAAAUAUCGUAUCCCGGAGAGCAUUUAAAUAAAAACCUCUCUCUCCUCAUUGAAUCAGUUUCCUACCCCAAGAGCUGUUCUCCCACUUCGUCUUCCCAUCAACAGCCUCUAGGAAAAACUGCCACUAGUGAAAGGACGAAAAACAAUUUGAAAAAAAUAAGCCUACAAUAUACUUCCAAGGAAGAGAAUUAUGCCAGAAUAUUCCUCAAAUGGUACUAAUACUGGAGAUACUUGUUGGCAACUUUUCUUGGGGACCAUAGCAACAUCUAUUUUUGUAUCUAACUUAUAGGCAGUGUUCUAAUUUAUGUUCCUAACUUAUAGGUAGUCUUUUAAUUUAUGUUCCUAACUUAUAAGUAACACGAUUUAUAACUAAGGUUUUUCCAUUGCUAAUAAUAACACUAUUUACCUAUAUGUUAGGCACAUAAUUUCAUGUGGGUGCUUGUUUGAAUAAUUGGUAUAAUAUGUGGGUUUUUAUUUUUCAUUGAUUAAAUUGUAUUUUAUCCAUAUAUAGGUAAAUAUUAUCACCGGCUGUCUUGUCAAUUUGAAGCUACUUGUUUUCUUGCAAAUGUUAAGGAGUAAAAAAUAAAAAAAAUAAAAAAAAUAAAAAAAAAAAUCUCUCCCGACGAAAUGUUGUCGGCACAUGUCUAUGCUGGCAAUAUUUUCCGGAUUAGAACUCUCCCGACGAAACUCACCUUUGCCAAUGAAGUCAUCGGGAGAGGUCUACGGGCAAACUUCGCCGGGAUAUAUCUGCGCCGGCGAACUUUCGUAGGGUAAUUUUUUUUUUAAAUAAAUUUUUUUUAAAAAAAUACCAGUUUAGUAUCUUUAAUUUACUAAAAUAUUUAAAUACUAAUUAUUCACUAAGUAAAUAAUAAUUAAAAUAUAACUUCUAAAUAAAAUAAUUAGAAAAGAGAAAUCAAAAUUAUGCUAUUUAAAGAGUAUAGCCGUCCGGCUAUACUUUUAAAAUAGUAUAUAUACAGAGUAAGGCCGCGCCGCUAUAAGUCUAACAUAUUCUAUUCUAUUUCUAGAGUAACUACGGGCAGCUAUACUUUUAAAAUAUUCUGUUUGUAUAGUAAAGCCGAAUGGCUGUACUUUAUAAAUAAAAUUAAAGAAACUAAUUUUAUAUGUUUCAAAUUUAUAAAUAAAUUAAAAAAAGCAAGAAAAUCUCUCCCGACGAAAUUUUGUCGGCGCAGGUCUUUGCCGGCAAUAUUUGCCUGAUUAGACUUCUCCUGACGAAACAGACCUUUGCCAACGAAUCUGUCGUCGGGAGAGGUAUAAUCAGGCAAAUGUUUGCCGAGAUAGAACUGUGCCGACAAAAUUUUGUCGAGGGAGGGUUUUUUUUUAUUAAGAAAAAAAAAACUAGUUUUGUAUCUUUAAUUUAAUAAAAUAUUUAAAUACUAAUUAUUAUUUAUUUAGUAAAUAAUUAGUAUUAAAUAUUUUAAUAAAAAUCCUGGAAUUAGUUUUGGUACCCAAGUAUUUUAGUAUUCGAAAAAUGGAAUUUAGCGUUGAAACUUAAAUCCAAUUCACAACGUGAUUCGAUAAUAUCAACUACUUGUUGGUGUUUGAUUGAAAUACAUGAACUUGAGACCCACAUUGGAAAAGAAGAGAAUGUAUCAACUCUUUAUAAGUGGGAGUCUUCCGACACGUGCUAUAUGCAAGGUGGGUGUAACACCCCGACCCCAAAUUUCCCCAAAUUUUACUCUCAUUUAAUUAUUUAAUUAUUUAAGGAUAUUUUAGUCAUAUUUUUAACCGGAGAGAGUUUGGGACCGCGACUUACAUUUUUGGAUAGGUCGUACUGAGAAGAGUUCAUAGACACGUAGUGGGCUCGAAUCGGAGUUGUAACGAGAGAGAUAUGGUCAAAAGAAACCCAGUGGCACAAUCGUAAAUAUUUCAAAAUGGGAUUUUUUUAUAAAAAACCUGGUUUCUCUCUCUCUCUCUCUCUCUCUCUCUCUCUCCCGCGAGCAGCCCCUCCCCUCCCGUUUUUUUCUGCACAGCCGGUGGCUCCAAGAGCCACCACAGCCGCCACCAGCCACCGAUUGGGGUGGUACCGGUCCCAAAAGAACCGCCAGCUCCUCCUCCUUCCAUCCCGCUCCAUCCCCGACCUCGGCAGCCGCUGGUGUCGCCGGAAUCUGCCGGAAAACGAGCUGGUUUUCACAGAUUUUCAAACCGCUCGUUCUCCCUCAUUUCUUCUCCAAAUUUGACGAGUAAGGUAUGGAUUUCUACCUAUUUUUCAUGCUCUAGCUGAUGGUUGGAUAGGAUUUCGUUAAUUUUUAGCCUAGGAUAGCUGAUCUUCAAUUUGAAAUUCUGCCGAUUUUGAGAGUUUGUUUUCGGCCACUUCCAGUCACUUUUUGGGGUAGGUCUAAGAACAAAAGUGGCUCCAAAUAGGGUGAUAUACCUAGGGUAGGAGUUUGGAGCCGAGAUGUUGAGAUUUUCCGGCGAAGCGUUAUCGCUUUGGGCACCCACGCGCUGCCGGCGCGUGCGGCGGCGCGUGGGCACUGUAGAAAAUUAGCACUGUGUUCCGAUGAGAUCCUUAGGUUGUCACGAGUGCGUAGGAUUUUACGGAUCUCAAUUCGGACAUCGUUUGACUAUCGAACGGAUAAUCGCAUAGUAUGCGUUAUCCGGGUCCGAUAGGUUGGGACCGUCGGAUGGUCCCAAAUUUAAUAUAUGUUAAUCUAGGUAUUUCUAGGAUCGUGUAGGAAUUCACGGAUCCGCAGGUCCGUUUGACCAGGGUUAGAGUAGUUUGACCCUUGGUUGACUGUGAGCCACCCGGAGUAAUCUCACCUCUCCAGGGGAGAUUAUCGGGUGCUAGAUGAUUGUGGAGGGUGACACAAUAUUAGGAUUAAUUUAUAUAAAUAUAAUUAUAUGUGGUUGUACAAGGGUACAACAGAGUCUAGAAUGUCAGUUUGGAGUGCUAUACGCACUACCGUAGGUACCUCCUCGGACGUUGGAUUCACUACAAGUACCACCAAGAGAAAGUGAGGUCGCACGUGGCGUAGGUUAUCCGGCGUGUCGACAGACCCCAUACGUGGCGUUGGUUGUACCGGCGUAUGCGGAGCUAUGUAAUAUGAUGUUCAGGUCUCACGUGGCGUAGGUUAUUCGGCGUUGAGACAGACCCCAUAUGUGGCGUUGGUUGUACCGGCGUAUGGGGAGCUAUGUAAUAAUGUGUUGAGGUCGCACGUGGCGUAGGUUAUCCGGCGUGUCGACAGACCCCAUACGUGGCGUUGGUUGUACCGGCGUAUGGGGAGAUUUGUGAUAUGAUAUUGAGGUCCCGCGUGGCGUAGGUUAUCCGGCGUUGGGACAGGCCCCAUACGUGGCGUUGGUUGUACCGGCGUAUGGGGAGAUUAUAUGAAAUACAAAGAAAUGAAAUAAGGUAUCGCUCAAGUAGGGAAUUGAGUUUUAGGGAAGAACUACGUGUGGCUUGAUCCCUCAAGGAGGGUACGUAGGCAGCCUGAGGUUAUUAGGUGCAGCCGCAGACUAAAUAUUAGUCAUAAAUUGUAAUUGAAUUGUUUGGUAGUUGUUUGAGAAUUUUGGAAGGCCGAAGGCCAUUUAUGAGAAUUUGCAUGAGAUUAUAUUGUGCAUGCUGCCCGUUGGUGAUAUUAAAUGCGUUUUCAUGCAGGUAUAAAUUUUGGGAAACGUCCAAUUUACAGGGGAGACUCUGCCGAAAUUUUGGCAGGAUUUCGGCAGGAAGUCUCGGUUUCAGUGAGUGGGCCUGACAUCGGGGUGAUGUCAGGAAUCCCCAAAGGGUUCGUCUCGAAUUUUGAGAAAAUUCGGGGCGGGUCCUUAACGUUGGUAUCAGAGCUCUAGGUUCAAUUCCCUGUGGACCCUACACUUUAUGUGCAUCCUUAAAUUGUGGGGAUCAAAAUGGGUACCAUCUCGGAAUGGCACAUUUGCGACGUUGAGGACGUCACAAAAGUCAAAUUAUUUCACAAAGGAAAGGUACAUAGGCCACCGGAGCAUAAGUAGAGCUGGAGCUUUACCACAGACAGUGGUUGUUUCAGAAGUUCCGGAAGAUGGCGAGUAGAAGCCGAAAGUUUGCAUAGGGUAACACCUGUACGUAUGGUACAGUUGGAUGUCCCUAUGAUAAAGUUGUCCGUUGGGUUCGCAUAAGCGGGAGGUAGGGAGUGGAUCCACCUACUUCUAGGGAUCCUCCAUUGCCUGAACAUGUUGCUAAUUUUCGAUUGUGUGCCUAGAGCACCGAGUCGAAGAUCCUAAGAGCAUAACCUCUCUCUGGGACGAGCAACUCCCCGACAUUGGAUCAAGGGAUCCAGGGUCUGAAGGGUGGUGUUGGUAUAAUCGAAAUCACAAGUGUCUCUUACAGAAAGAGGCUCGUGUGUGGUGAGAAUACUAUGGUCAAGUCUAAGGACGAGACCCAGAUGGAUGGAGAGAGUCCUUUGGGGUCUCAUCUCACGUGAGCACGUUUGAGUAGAGAUCUUUCAUCGGAAUCAGAAAUGGAUCAUGGUCGAGAGAGAUCGAUGAUGAUUACAAUUCGGUAAAAAUGAUCAUUUCUGACUUUUCUCUCAACGAAUCGUGUUAGCAAAGUAAAGGGAGAAGUAGUGGAGUUGGGUGUAACCGUACUUCAUUUGCGUGGGCUUGAAUGCCGCGAUUGACAGGAGUGGAACAUUAGGGUUCUUCUUCUUCCUUGCUCUCUCACGUGAGCUCGCCAUAGUUAGAGAAGGAGACUUUUCUUUCUCUGCUUGCUUAGCUAGAGCUUUUGGCUUGGUUGCCAACACGGUUGUGGAGAAAGAACUUGGGAACCCGAGUGGUAGAUGCGGGCCCCAUGCUCACAACCCUUCGAAUGACAAGGUAGGAAAUUUCGGGGACGAAAUUUUUAUAAGGGGGGUAGUCUGUAACACCCCGACCCCAAAUUUCCCCAAAUUUUACCCUCAUUUAAUUAUUUAAUUAUUUAAGGAUAUUUUAGUCAUAUUUUUAACCGGAGAGAGUUUGGGACCGCGACUUACAUUUUUGGAUAGGUCGUACUGAGAAGAGUUCAUAGACACGUAGUGGGCUCGAAUCGGAGUUGUAACGAGAGAGAUAUGGUCAAAAGAAACCCAGUGGCACAAUCGUAAAUAUUUCGAAAUGGGAUUUUUUAUAAAAAAAACCUGGUUUCUCUCUCUCUCUCUCUCUCUCUCUCUCUCUCUCUCUCUCUCUCUCUCUCUCUCCCGCGAGCAGCCCCUCCCCUCCCGUUUUUUUCUGCACAGCUGGUGGCUCCAAGAGCCACCACAGCCGCCACCAGCCACCGAUUGGGGUGGUACCGGUCCCAAAAGAACCGCCAGCUCCUCCUCCUUCCAUCCCGCUCCAUCCCCGACCUCGGCAGCCGCUGGUGUCGCCGGAAUCUGCCGGAAAACGAGCUGGUUUUCACAGAUUUUCAAACCGCUCGUUCUCCCUCAUUUCUUCUCCAAAUUUGACGAGUAAGGUAUGGAUUUCUACCUAUUUUUCAUGCUCUAGCUGAUGGUUGGAUAGGAUUUCGUUAAUUUUGAGCCUAGGAUAGCUGAUCUUCAAUUUGAAAUUCUGCCGAUUUUGAGAGUUUGUUUUCGGCCACUUCCAGUCACUUUUUGGGGUAGGUCCAAGAACAAAAGUGGCUCCAAAUAGGGUGAUAUACCUAGGGUAGGAGUUUGGAGCCGAGAUGUUGAGAUUUUCCGGCGAAGCGUUAUCGCUUUGGGCACCCACGCGCUGCCGGCGCGUGCGGCGGCGCGUGGGCACUGUAGAAAAUUAGCACUGUGUUCCGAUGAGAUCCUUAGGUUGUCACGAGUGCGUAGGAUUUUGCGGAUCUCAAUUCGGACAUCGUUUGACUAUCGAACGGAUAAUUGCAUAGUAUGCGUUAUCCGGGUCCGAUAGGUUGGGACCGUCGGAUGGUCCCAAAUUUAAUAUAUGUUAAUCUAGGUAUUUCUUGGAUCGUGUAGGAAUUCACGGAUCGUGAAUCGGAGCCCCGGAUGUUCCGAAUAAUAAUUUAAAGUUUAUAUUUUAUAUUAACCGUCAGAUCGUGCGAUCGUGAGCAAUCCGACCGUCCGAUCUGAACCAAACUUGCAGGACAAGUGUCCUAUACCUGGUAGAACCCAUAGGGACUUCCGGAUCGGAAAUUGGAGGUCAUGGGUUCCGCAGGUCCGUUUGACCAGGGUUAGAGUAGUUUGACCCUUGGUUGACUGUGAGCCACCCGGAGUAAUCUCACCUCUCCAGGGGAGAUUAUCGGGUGCUAGAUGAUUGUGGAGGGUGACACAAUAUUAGGAUUAAUUUAUAUAAAUAUAAUUAUAUGUGGUUGUACAAGGGUACAACAGAGUCUAGAAUGUCAGUUUGGAGUGCUAUACGCACUACCGUAGGUACCUCCUCGGACGUUGGAUUCACUACAAGUACCACCAAGAGAAAGUGAGGUCGCACGUGGCGUAGGUUAUCCGGCGUGUCGACAGACCCCAUACGUGGCGUUGGUUGUACCGGCGUAUGGGGAGCUAUGUAAUAUGAUGUUCAGGUCUCACGUGGCGUAGGUUAUUCGGCGUUGAGACAGACCCCAUAUGUGGCGUUGGUUGUACCGGCGUAUGGGGAGAUUAUAUGAAAUACAAAGAAAUGAAAUAAGGUAUCGCUCAAGUAGGGAAUUGAGUUUUAGGGAAGAACUACGUGUGGCUUGAUCCCUCAAGGAGGGUACGUAGGCAGCCUGAGGUUAUUAGGUGCAGCCGCAGACUAAAUAUUAGUCAUAAAUUGUAAUUGAAUUGUUUGGUAGUUGUUUGAGAAUUUUGGAAGGCCGAAGGCCAUUUAUGAGAAUUUGCAUGAGAUUAUAUUGUGCAUGCUGCCCGUUGGUGAUAUUAAAUGCGUUUUCAUGCAGGUAUAAAUUUUGGGAAACGUCCAAUUUACAGGGGAGAUUCUGCCGAAAUUUCGGCAGGAUUUCGGCAGGAAGUCUCGGUUUCAGUGAGUGGGCCUGACAUCGGGGUGAUGUCAGGAAUCCCCAAAGGGUUCGUCUCGAAUUUUGAGAAAAUUCGGGGCGGGUCCUUAAAGUGGGCCUAGGGGAGUGGAACUUGGAUUUACCCAAACUAAUUUUGUAUACAAAAUAAAAUAAAAAUCAUAGUCCACAAAAUAAUUUAAAAUAAUUAAUUACUAGGAUUCAUUAUGGGUAGUUGUGUUCCAUAAAAAUAGGAUUCAUUAUUUGAUUUUUCUUUUAAUUUUAAUUUUUUUAAUAUAAAAAGGUGUGAAUUUAUCAUAUUAUCCUCAUUUAAUUAAUAAUUUUAAUUCUUAAUGUUUGGAUUAACUAAGGCUAUUUUAUGGUAUUAUGAAUGUUUCACCAUUCUCUGCCUUUUGCUUUAUUUAUACUAGCCUCUCUGCACGCGCUUCCGCGCAUGCGAGAGUUUUUUUUUUUUUUUUAAAUUUAAAUUUAUUUUAGAAUUAAAAAAGAUAAUGGAUAUUUGUGUUCCAUAAAAAUAGGAUCCAUUAUCUGAAUUUUCUUUUAAUUUUAAUUUUUUUAAUACGAAAAAUUGUGAACUUACCAUAUUAUCCUCAUUUAAUUAAUAAUUUGAAUUCUUAAUGUUUGCAUUAACCAAGGGCAUUUUCUGGUAUUUUAAAUGUUUCACCAUUCUCUGCCUUUUGCUUUAUAUAUAUAGAUAUAUAAGAUAUAGAUUAACCAAAUAGUUCUCAUAAAGAUACGACUUCAAACUAAUUCCUUCAAUUUUGUUUGAAAAAAGUACAAGAGCAUGUUUUGUUUCAAUUCUGUUCGACUAUUUUUAUUUUGAAAAAUUCAUAGUUUGUUAACUGGAAUUAUAAUCUGAUUUCAUUUCACUAACGUAAUUCACUAAUAUUUCAUAUGCUUUCUACUCGCAGGCACGAAUCUGAUUUCAUUCAUAACAUUGUUGAAGAGAUUUUGACACAAGUAUUAAAAGUACCUAUUUCACUGUAGCAAAGUACAAUAUAUGAAUGUGCUUUUAGGUCGCAUGCAUGGUAGACAACAAUUGCUAAAGCUGUUUAUAAUUUAAUUGCCUAUAAAUUUGAAGGGAGCUGUUUUUUUGGUAAAUGCGUUGGAGAAAAUUCAACAACACGUAUGUCUCUCUCUCUCUCUUAUGAGGAACAGGAAGAUGAACCUACUUCCUGAGAGAAUUGAAAAGAAAAGAAGAUUGUAGGGGCAAGAUUAACCAUGUUUGAAGAUUUUUUUAAAAAAAGAACAAAGAAAAAACUACUUCUUCAUGUACUGUUGAAUUGAAUGCCACUUGGUAUAUGUUGAGGCUGAGGAUGCUUUUGGGUUUAGGGGGAUGUCCUUGUAUAGUCUUUCUUGUUUUAAAACCUCUGCCAAUUACUUGUUUUUUUUUUUGUCCUUUUUUUGUCUUUUUUUGUCUUUUUCUUUUUGUGAAUUUGAAGCGGAAUUAAAGAUUGGGGAAAGACUAGAGUGAUAUUUUGGUUUGGAUGGCAAAAAAUUGGUGGAAAAUUUUGAGGGUUUGGCGCAUGAAUGUGGGGAAAACAGGAAGCAAAAGGCAGAAAUGCCUUGACAUGUGCAAGUGACUUGCCUCUUUGUGUACCAAAUUACCAUAAUUUGGUAUUUAUCUUUGAAUUGCUAUACGCAAUUUAGAAGGGUAGAAUUGAAAAAAUCAAAUAUAUAAGAACCAAAAACAAAAACUAGGCAAAUUAUAUGGACAAAGAUUGAAAUUUGACCUUAUUUAAAAGAAGAGAAACUAUGUAGAAGGAACUCCACUUAAAUCUUUAUAUACGUAAGGCUUUGAACAAAUUAUUAUAUGUAAUAUUGACUAUAUCAUAUACAAAAGGACAUUGAUUAGAGGACAGGUGGUGUCUUUCAUAAUAUUAAAGUUUUUAUUGAGUUUUUUUUAAAAAAAAGCUCCCCAUUAUAUAUGUGUAUUUGACUUGCAAAGUAAACAAUAACACCUCCAAAAAGUAUUUAAAAAGUAUGAAUAAUUGUAUAUGAUUAAAUUUUUUAUUUGGUCAGAAAACUGUAUAUGACAAGAGACGUUUUGAGUUCAUUGGAAAAAACAAGGUACCUAGCUAGAAAUCAAAUCAAAUAAAAUGAAAACGCGGUAACAGUCUCACUCAAUUGACCCCAUCGAUCAUAAGCAUCCCAUCUACCUCAUUGACUUUUUGUUCAUAUUACUCAAUAUCUUGAGACUUGAAUCUUGAUAUCAUGCUUUCACAGAAGAACUCCUUACUUCUUUGAUCGUUUGAAACUCUUCAUUCUUACAAAUUACAAUCUUGAUUGCUUCCUUUUGGACAAGAAAACAUGGUAGCAGUGGCAGAGGUCUUUCUUGGGGCACUCCUUCGGUUUCUGCUGGACAGGUUAUUGACUCCACUCAACUUCCUCGCGGACGGUGUUGGCAAAAAACUGAAGACAUGGAGUGAAAUGUUGUCUUCAAUUGAACUGGUGCUUCGUGAUGCAGAGAAGAAGCAACUAACGAGCAGUGCAGUGGAGCUGUGGCUGGAUGAUCUCAAAGACUUGGCUUAUGAUAUCGAAGACAUCCUCGACAAGUUUUAUACUGAGAUGUUACGGCGCAAGUUGGACGAACAACGUGGGGCUACAACAAGUAAGGUACGAAGCCUAAUUCCUAGAUUUGAAGUCCACUUUAAUAUGAACUUCGAAAUAAAGGAGAUUACCAAUCGGCUACAAGCCAUAUCUGAACGAAAAGAUAAACUUGGGUUAAGUUUAGAUGGUAUUGGAUCUUCCUCCACUAAACCUUGGCCAAGGCCACCAAGUUCAUGUGUUCUGAAUGGCGUGCCUGUUGUUGGAAGAGAUAGUGACAAAGCAAAGAUUGUUGAAUUGUUGUCAAGAAACUAUGAGCCUAAUGCUAUCAAUUUUCAAGUAGUUGCGAUUGUUGGCAUGCCUGGAAUUGGAAAAACAACACUGGCUCAAUUUGUAUUCAAUGAGGAUGAUGUGCUGAAACAGUUUGAUCUUAAGGCAUGGGUAUCCGUGUCCGAUGAAUUCGACGUUGUAAGUGUAACAAAGGCAAUUCUUGAAUCAGUCACGUCCGGACGCUGUGAUUUGGAGGAAUUCAGUAACAUUCAGAACAAUUUGAGCAAAGCAUUGGCAGGAAAAAAGUUUCUGAUUGUUUUAGAUGAUGUCUGGAAUACAUGUGACUAUAAUCUAUGGACAAUGCUGCAAUCCCCCUUUUGUGUUGGAGCAUCGGGAAGUAAGAUAAUCGUGACAACACGCGAUGCAGAAGUUCCAAGAAUGAUGAGAUCCACUGAAGUUCACAAUUUGAGCGGUAUAUCAAAUGGUGAUUGCUGGAAAGUAUUUAUGCAACAUGCAUUUUUUAAUAUUGAAGAAAGCUCCAGACCAACGAAGUAUGAAUUACUUCAGGAGAAAAUUGUUGCAAAAUGUUGUGGGUUGCCUUUGGCGGCAAGGACUCUUGGUGGUCUUUUAGGUUGUAAAGAAAUAAAUGAAUGGGAGGAAAUAUUGAACAACAAAUUGUGGUUUCUAUCUGAUAAGAGUGGAAUUCUCCCAGUAUUGAAAAUUAGCUACUAUUAUCUCCCUUCAACUUUGAAAAGGUGUUUUGCCUAUUGCUCAAUACUUCCAAAUGACUAUGAAUUUGGGGAGACACAGUUGAUCCUUCUAUGGAUGGCAGAAGAUUUGAUUCAGAAACCAGAAGAAAAUAAACAAUUGGAAGACGUAGGCCGUGAGUAUUUUCAAGAGCUUGUGUCUAGGUCCUUAUUUCAAAAAUCAAGCAAACAAGAUUCAAGAUAUGUGAUGCAUCACCUCAUUAGUGAUUUGGCACAAAAGGUUUCCGGAGAAACCUGUUUAAGAUUGGAGGAUAUCUUGGAUGGUAGAUGGUCUCCGAAGACUCGUCAUUUGUCUUACACUGCUGGUAAAUAUGAUGGAGUCAAAAGAUUUGAGGCGUUUGCUAAAGCAAAAGUUUUGCGGACUUUUCUACCACUUUCAAUUUCACAGGAUCCAUGUAAUUAUUUGACUUGUAGGGUUACUUUUGAGUUACUGCCAAAGUUGCAAUACAUACGAGUGCUCUCUUUGAAUGGUUAUCGAUUAAUCAAGCUGCCGAAUUCAAUUGGUGAGUUGAAGUUUCUCCGAUACCUAGAUCUUUCUCACACGGAAAUAACGAGUUUGCCUCGUUCAAUAAGCACACUUUGCAACUUACAAACGUUGAUAUUAGAGAAUUGUUAUAGUUUGAAGGCACUACCUGCAAACAUGAAGAACCUAAUUAAUCUGCGUCAUCUCAACAAUUCAAACACACCUUCAUUGCAAGGAAUGCCUGCACAACUAGGUCAACUGACGAAUUUGAAAACAUUGAGUAAUUUUGUGGUGAGCGAAGGUAGGGAGUCGAGUAUAAGAGAGGUAGAGCCCCUAUUGCAUCUCCAGGGGACAUUGCGCCUCUCAAGAUUGCAGAAUGUGAAUGACAUUGAGGAUGUGAAGAGGGCGGACUUAAUUAGCAAGGCCGGGCUUGAUGUAUUGCUACUAGAAUGGAAUGGCUUAGGAGAAAAGGAAUCCGACGUGCUCGACAUGUUACAACCUCAUAGGAAGCUCAAAGUGCUCAGCAUCAAGGGAUAUGGUGGUUUGGAAUUUUCAAAAUGGAUUGGACAUCCUUUACUCUCUAGCUUGACAACGGUGUGCUUAGAGGGUUGCAACCAUUGCUGUCUGUUGCCAUCACUUGGACAAUUGCCAUCUCUCAAAAAGCUUUCUAUAAAAAGAUUGUGUGCAGUGGAAGUAGUGGGUCUUGAGUUCUAUGGAACGCUAAGAAUGCCUUUUCCACUGUUAGAGAUCCUUGAGUUUGAGGAUAUGAAACAUUGGAGGGAGUGGUUUCCAUACGAACAAGAUCAAGAUCAAGGAAUUAGAGUUUUCCCUUGCCUGAAAAUGCUUUCCAUAUCCAAAUGCCCCAAAUUGGAGGGCAGGUUACCCGAGAACCUUGAUUCACUGUCAAAGCUUGUGAUUCGUGGAUGUGAGCAGUUGGUGAUUUCAAUUUCUGACUAUAAACAACUUCAGAAAUUAGAUAUUGAUGAUUGCAAAAGGGUGGUCCAUAUAAAAGUUCAGCUUGAGUUAUUGGAGGCCUUGCAGCUUUCAAGUAUUGCAGAGUUCAAACUCCAAAUAAAGGAUUUCAUGGGAGGAUUACCAAAGCUUAAUGAUCUGGUUAUUAGCGGUUGUGAUGAGCUCACAUCUUUAUGGCAGAAUGAAGAUAAAUUGCUCCAUAACCUGAUUUCUCUUCGUUGUUUGGUUAUUGGAGACAACCCUCACCCCCAUCUUGUUCAAAAUCUUGUCUCACUCCAAGAGCUUCACAUAUAUGACUGCCCAAGUCUGAUUUCUUUUCAAGAGUUUCUUUUGCCACCUUUUGUCAAGGAAAUAAAAAUUGAGCGGUGCAGUUCUCUUGUGUAUUUUGCAAGAUACCGGAUACCUCCAAAUCUAAGAAGAAUGGAUAUUAUGUUAUGCGAAAAUUUGAAAUCACUGCUGGAGGAAGAGGAGGUAAAGGGUUCUUCGUCAUCCUCUUCUCCUUACCUGGUGAAAGAAGAGGAAUCUUGUCUUGAGUACUUGAGUAUAGAGGAUUGUCCAUUGCUGACGUCCUUAUCAUUUGAAGACCAUCUUCCCGGGACGCUUAAACAUCUUCGCAUAAGCGAUUGUGAACAGCUAGAGACAAUAACCAAUAGGUUCAAGCAUAACACUUGCCUUGAAGAAAUUAAGAUCUCGCGUUGUAAAAAUCUCAAGUGUUUACCGGAAGGCCUAUGCUACCUCACCAAUCUUCAAGAGUUAGGUAUUUAUGACUGUGCAAGUCUUGUUUCCUUCCCCGAAGGAGGGUUGCCACAAAGCGCUGCCUACCUAAGAGAGAUCGACAUCAGCUACUGCAACAAAUUGGAGGCACUACCCAAAGGCAUACAUGACCUCAACUCUCUUCAGAUAUUGAGCAUUUCUUGUUGCGAAGGUUUCACGCAGUUUCUAGAAGAUGGUUUUCCCCCUAACUUAAUACAGCUUACAAUUUAUAAUCUCAAGAGCUGUAAGGCACUCUUGGACUUGGGGUUGCACAGGCUCACCUCUCUUAGAGAACUGGAAAUUCGUGGCAAAGACCCAGACGUGUUGUUCUUCCCUCCUGAGAAAGAGAUGGUGCUUCCUAAAUCUCUCAUUCGACUUACAAUUCAGGACUUCCCGAAUCUCGUUAAACUCAGCAACGGCUUUCAACUCCUCAACUGUCUUCAAUCUUUUCACAUCGAGGGGUGUCCUAAGCUAGCAUCAAUGGCAGAGGAGAGUCUUCCUCUAUCACUUACACAACUUACUAUCUAUCACUGUCCGCUGCUAGAAGAGAGAUGCAAACCAAGUAAAGGAAGAUAUUGGCCCUCCAUAGCGCACAUCCCUUACAUUCGGAUUCAAGACCACGUGCAUAGAGCAAAUCCAGAUCAUAGCCCGCGCCUCCCGUUCUCGUGCUCUCCUUCCAGGUACUUCCAACAUGAGACAACAAUCAAAACCAUUAUUAUUUGUUUUCACUAAUUAUAAACUUUUAUGAUAUGUAAUUUAUUAUAUUUCACUAGCAGAUCAGAGGACCAGAGGACCAAGCUAGCUAUCACGAACACAUAAAUUUCUUUCCUUAAAGCCAUCUUAUCGGAGAUCAAUUACGGUAAGGAAGAUCAUCAUCUUAUUUUUAUAUUCCUACUAGAUUAGUGACCAAACCUUUUGGUAAUCCGAACACAUAAAAAAAACCAGAGUGUUUUAUUGUCACUGAUUUAUCCUUUUCAUAAUCCAUGCUUGUUGUUGCCAUGCUUACCUGUGACAUGGUUCAGAUAACCCUAUCAUAUAAAAAAAAAAAAUUACUAAAUUCAAUUCUGAGUCAAAUGUCAGUUGGGAUCAAAAUUUAUUUAAACGUAUUACUGAUUUAUUUUGUAGGGAUGCUUGAACAAUGGACCCUUUUACUCAUCAGCCUUUGUCCAGAGAUUUUGUCACAUGCUUUUGAUCAGGCUUCCUCACCAAGUAACCCUUAGUUUGCAUUUGGGAGCUUGUUAGGCUAAAAUGGAAAGAGAUGAAUUGAGGAGGUGGGGAGUGUUGUGGUGGCUUUGUGGUAAUCUUCCUUAAAAUUUAUGGAUUAGUUGGUGGCAUGGCAUCUCUCAGUGCAUUUGUUCGAUAUAGUUGACUAUGUUCGAUUUCAUUAGGCAUGAUGAAAAUGUUAUCCUCUUUGGCCUGCAGGGGCAUUCAAAGUUAUAUGCAAGUCAAUUUGUUGUUCUGUUUUGUUUUGAAUUUGAAUUGUAGCAUGAACUGGGAUGCAGUUUUUGCUCUAGGAUUGAAGUGAUUUGGAUUCCACAAUUCCUGACUCUUGGUUUCUGAUUUAUGACAUCAUUUUCUCUGAUUGAAAAGACAAUGAUGGAAGAAAUAUUAGUUUGGGCAUCGGUGCAGGGCUUUGACUAGCAAUACUCUAAUGCUAACCAUUUUCCCACUCAUUCUCACUACUUGGGCUAAUCGCCCAGCCCCUUAUUGCUUCUAUUUAGAGCACCUCCAGCAACAAACCCAAGCCCGGACAGGACAGGGCCCGAGCCCAGACAGGAGGUUUCAGCAGGCCAAAAGAGUCCGGGCAAGGCGUGGGUCCCAUUGAACUGGGCCAGCCUGCGAGUGAAACGAGCCUGAGGUUGAGUUGAGCCCGAAGGCUGCUGAUGUGAAAAAAUGAAAAGAAGUAUUUGCUUAGCAAGACCCAUCAAAAAUUGAAAAGAAGAAGAAAAGAGGAGGAGUUGCUUCUAUUAAAUUAAUUGAUUUUGUUUUUCCUUUUCGAUCCUCUUAAGUCAAUCUUUAGUACGUAUGGGUUCUGUGACCACUCAAUUACGAGCCUCUUCCUCUUCUUCUUUCACCCAUUCAUUGGCAUAUGAUGUCUUUCUCGGUUAUAGAGGCGCCGAUGCACACAACAAUUUUACAUACAAUCUGCAUAGCAAGUUGCUUCAACAGGGAAUAAAAACCUACCUUUAUAGAAGAGGAGAAGAAGUUCCAUUGCCAAUGCUUCUCAAAGUUAUUGAAGAAUCAAGGGUUUCAAUCAUCAUAUUCACUGAAAAUUUUGCAUCCUCCGAGUGGUGCUUGAUUGAACUGGUUAAGAUCCUCCAAUGUAGAGAAUCAAAAAAACAAAUUGUUUGGCCAAUUUAUUACAAGGUGGAUCCUUUGGAUGUACGUGACCAGCAAGGUAGUUUUGGUGAGGCAAUUGCUAAUCAUUUUUGCACAUUCAAGGAUAACAUAGAGAAGGUGUUGAGAUGGAGGGCAGCUCUUACAGAAGCAACAAAGUUGUCUGGGUGGUAUUUCUUGCACGGGUAUAUUUUUUUAACCAUGCUAUUACCAGCUUUUGAAGUUGUUUUUUUUAAUCUCGUUCUCUAUUUAAACUUGAUAAUUUAUUUUAACUAGUUCCUUCAAUUCUGCUUGAAAAGAGUACAUCUAGAGCAUGUUCUUUGUUUCAGUUACAGCCCAUGAGUUAGUUGACUUUUUUUUUAAACCUAUAUGUAAUAUCAAAAUGUCAUAUCACUAAUGUUUCAUAUGUUUUUUUUACUGGCAGGCACGAAUCUAAUUUCAUUCAUAAGAUUGUUGAAGAGGUUUCAACACAAGUAUUAAACGCACCUAUUUGACUGUAACAAAGAAUAGAGUCUUGUGUAUAGUAUGAGAUAUGAAUGAGCUUUUUGUCGUAUUUGGUGGGUUGAAUUGAACUGGAUUAUCCAAUUAAAAUGAACAUGGGUCUAAUCUGUUGUUUGAUUUCAUUCUCUAGUGGGUUUUCUUCCAUUUCCACAGUUGAGCCCAUCACAUUUUUGCGAAGGUAUUGAUCUCCUUACAUUUAGUUGCGCUUCAUGUUCUGUUCUUGUUUUGAGACACAUUUUGAUAAAUUAAUUUUCUCGAUAUCAUGUUGUUGACAAUAAAUCCAACAACAAUUGUUCGCAUGAUAGGUAUAUGGGGGAUUGAAGGAAUAGGCAAGACAACAAUUGUUAAAGCUGUUUAUAAUUCAAUUGACUAUAAAUUUGAAGGUAGCAGUUGGAGGUGAGCAAUGUUGAUGAGAGAGUCAAUGUGAUAAAGAAAUGGUUAAGCCACAAUUUUGUGAAUUUUUUUUCCUUGUAUUUAUUUUCUUUGAAAAAUAAAACAAAACUCAGUUUUGGAUAGCCGCAUUCCGUUCAUCAUGCAUAUGCCACUAUUAUUUAUGGGUUUGACUUUAGUCAAAGAUGGCUAUUGGGCCUCUUGGCCUCUUGGGCCUCUUGGCCUCUUGGGUUCAGUCAAAGAAAUUAAUGAUAUCCACUAAUCCGAGUCCUUGGUUUAUUUAUAGAUAGUUAAAGUCAUGUCUUUGACGCCAUCAGUUUUGAGAGAAAAAAAUAGAAAAAUAUUAUUGAUUAAAAAAAAACUCAAAAAACCAACUUACAUAUAUGUUGACCAAAGAGGAAAACAGAAAAAGAGAGGAAGUCAAUCUCGUUACAACUUACAAGAACUGAUUGCAACACUACAUUGAGAAUUAAAGUUAAGGGAAAAGAUGUGACUUGUAGAGUGCAACGCGAUAUUGAGUUCGAUGAAAUGGGUCUUCCUCCCCCAAGAAAAAGAGCACAUCCCCAGCUGCAAUGCCUUUGUCCUUGGCAAACACUCUCCAUGCUCUAGACUGGAAAACUGGCUUUCUGUAUUUGCCCCGUCGUCUGCCGGAUAAUUUGAACUUGUAAACCCGCCUUUGGUUGUCCAAAACUCUGAUCGGGACAUCCCGAUCUGGAUUGACACAAGGUAGCAUCGCAAGCAUGGUGCUGGUCACUACAAGUCUUUUAACAUCUGAGGCCUUCAACACUUUCUCAAAAGGAUCAAGCUCCAUGGAACUCUCUCUCUCUCUCUCUCUCUCUCUCUCUCUCUCUCUCUCUCUCUCUCUCUCUCCGUCUCUCUCUCUCUCUGUGACAAAAUGAUGACCAAAACGCUAGCGACUUUGAUCACCUGCGCUAUAUGCCUUCUCUAUCUGCUAGGUUUAAGUUUAAUAUGUAUAUACACAAAUAUAAUAUAGGCCAAGAAUAUUGUGCACCUUGGCGUGACACGUCCUUUUAUGCGAAUUGCGGUUUGUAUUUUUGUUGCCAAAGGAGAAUUGCCCUGUAACACAAUACUGAAACCCAUCUCGAUUACCAAACACAAACUUUGUUGCCAAAGGGGAAUUGCCCUGUAACACUACAAUACUGAAGCCCAUCUCGAUUACCAACACAAAGGCUUCCCCCUACUCCAUCAGCCACGCAGCUCACCUAUUUGUGUCUUUCCAUUUCCAUUUCCAUCCCUUUCACAAAAUAUUCGUUUUUUGAUGUAUCAAACCCAUCAUCCUCACUCCCUUUACUGAUUGAAAAUCUUGGAUACAAAACUAUAAGGGUUUUGCUUUUAGGGAGGCUUGGAAUCAAUGGUUUUCUGGAGUUGGUGUUAGGACCAAUUUUUGGUAUAUUGGCAAUUUCCUGUUAUAAAAACAUAGAGUAGGCCUUUGAGGGUAACCUACAGUUGUUUUGUCUUUUUAGUUGGGUUUUUAGUUAAGUGGCUUUAUUUGUUAAAAAGCCCAUUUUUGCUAAAAGCCUUUUUGGUCUCUGGCCCAGUUUUAAGCGUGAAAAAUAAGAAGGGACUUGUACUGCUUUUUUACUCUGCGGCUUUCAGAAAAAUAGAAUAAACAACUUAUAAAUUAAGUUAAAAUUUCCUCUAAAACAAAUUAGACAUGACGCAAUUAGAAAUAUUUAGCUAUAAAUAUGUAAUUAUUGAAUACUUAGGUGUUUUAUAUACUUGUAUUUUCAACUUCAGCCCCCUAAUUUUACAAUUCUUCCUCCAACCCUGGAUUAAAUCAUCAUUUUUUCAUAUAUGUGUGAGUUCAUGAGCAUUAUGCAUGUUGGUGAUCAACAAUUGUGCCUUAAGGUGUGAGUAGCCGAGACCUGCGUUGUGUUAUCUCUUGUCAACGAAGGAAGACAAGAUCGUUGAUUGGGUUGAGUAGCAAAGGCGAGUAGGCAAGUCUGCCUUGUGAGUUGAGACUUAUAAAAUCUUUUUGUAUUCUUGCUCAUAGUGAUUUGUUUUCCGGCAUAGUGCCUGCAGUUGUGUCACUUGUGCGAUUGUUUGUGUUUUUGUUUGAAUUUAUUGCUACUGCAUAUUUUGGAAUUUUGAUUACAGAAUUGUUACAGUAUUUCAAUCCUAUUGUGGUGUUUGAGUAUUAAGAAACAUAUCGGUUGGCCAUUCUAGGAAAUUUUAGUUGGGCUAAUGACGAUUUUGGUGGGAUUCUUGAUCAUAUAUCUUGAAUUUGUCCAGCCAAAUAAUCAAGGGUAAUGGGGUCCAGCUCUUGGCUUGACUUGAGGCAGCGAGGUCGGUGGUGGGGUUUUUGUUUUUGCGCCCAUGAACUGAAGAAGCCCUGAUACCAGAGUUGGUAGAGUGCACAUAAUUAAAAGGGAAUAUGCGGAAGAAAAUUGCAUUGAUUACUGAUCUUCAACAAAGUGGUCCUUUUUAUUAAUCAGCCGCCUUUGCCUAGAGAUUUGGUCACUUGCUUUUGAUCAUGCUUCCUCACCAAUUAACCCUCAGUUUUCAUUUGAGAGCUUGGUCACAACGCUCAAGGGAAAGAGAUGAAUUGAGGAGGUGGGGAAUGUUGUGGCAGUCUUCCUGAAAAUUUAUGGAUUUGUUGGUGGCAUGACAUAUCUCGGUGCAUUUAGAUCCUUCUUCUGUUACAUGUCUGCACUUGGCUGCUUCAAGAUUGAGUUGGAAUGGAAUGGAUGAGACCAUUGAGCAAAAUGAGUAGCCAUAGGGAUAUUUAAAGUUAUGUGUGCCAAUUUGCUGUUCUGAAUUUCAAAUUGAUAAUAGACUUUAGAUUGUGCAACAAUUAUGCUAUGUGUUUUUGGUCUGUAAACGGUUUUAGAUUGAGAUGGUAUUCAGAUGAUGGGAGGCUUGACCCCAAGUAAACGGUUUUGGCGUUUUUGGUUUGUAAUGUUGUGACACUUUUAUAUCAAUAAUUCAUCAUUAGACUAACUUUUUAGGUCUACGAAACAAUCAGAAAGAAGAAAGGAAAAGGAAACAUAUCAAAUCCAUAAACUUUGGUUCUCCUUCCCACAUAUAUGCUUUAUUUAUAUGCAAGAAAAAAUGACAUUAAUUUAAUCAUGAAAACCAAAUGAUGUUAGAAUUUGAUUUUUUUUUUAAAGAAAAAUUAGUGAGAUCAAUGGUUGCUUCCCCUUUUUAACAUUGGAACUGUGGCGGCAAAAAUUGAAUCUAUAUCAUUUGUCUGUUUUUUUUUUUCAAACGAAAAGGAACUUCAUUAAGAGGCAAGAGCCAUGAACAGAACAUAAAAACUAAGACAGCACACGCUGAGCUAAAGCAAGUAAGUGGAGAGGUUAACUUAUUAUAAAAUAUAGAUAGGGAAAUGAAUGGAAAAGUGUUGGUUAGGCCGCGUAUGCAGAGGAGAUGACUAGAUAUCACGUGGAAUCAAAAGAACAUGGAUGUUAUGUUCUGAAUUAUUCAUAAAAAAUUGAUGUCUUAAACUCAUAAAAUUUAAUCAUUUAGCUAUAAUCCAAGGGCUGAUUUCUACUGUACUGCUAAGUUUUAUACUUCCAAUGUAAACUCUAACCCAUGACGUGAGAAUGCACGAAUGGCGAUCACAUGGACUAUCUGUUUUCGAGAGGCAUAUUUUUAUGUGUUUAGCCUUUUAGGCACUCUGCUCUACAAAGUCAAACAAAAAAGAAGAAGGUUUUUUUUGUUAAGAUUUUAGAUGGACGGAUUUUUGGUUCACAACUAGUAACACCGAUAUUAUCCUCAACUUAACUACAUGUUUAGCAGGUGUGAGGUUUUAUACAAAAAGUUUCAAUGUUAUUAGGAGUGGAAUCGUUUAUUAUAUGAAACUUUUUAUAUUGUUAAGAUUCCGAUAUGGGACUCAAGUAUUCUUUAACAUUUUUAGCGUUAUCUGAUAUAGAGGCGAUUUACCAGCUCCUAAUCAAGUUUUGGAAUCCUCCAUUUAUUCCUCUAGGAUCUACAAAGGAUUCUUUAGUUCGUGAGUUACCCAUUCGUGGGAAUAAAAAGGAUGCACGAAUGGUAGUCCGUGCACUAAAUUUCACAUUUAAAUAUAAAUUUAGCUCAUCACCGCAUUUAAAUUAUAAUCCACUAAAUUCCAUAUAUUUCUUCUAUAAUUUGUUUCUCACUGUUUUUAAGUCUACGAAACAAUCAGAAAGAAGAAAGAAAAAGGAAACAUAUGUUUCUCAAGUGGAGAUAAAUAUAUAAUUUAUUUAUAUGCAUGAAAAUGUGUUAUUAAUUUAAUCAUGAAAACCAAAUGAUGUUGGAGUUUGAAACAUAUGAUUGCGUAAUUGCUUCAUCGAGGCUUUUAUUAAUUUAUUUUUCUUUUUGAUUUUUUUUAAAAAAAAAGAAAGAAAAAUGAGUGAGAUCCAAUUGGUUGCUACCCCUUUUUAACAUUAGAACCAUGGCGGCAAAAAUUGAAUCUAUAUCAUUUGUCUUAUACGACGGUCGUUGAGAUCUUGAAUUAAAAGGUGCAGACUAUGUGAGCUUGGAAAUGACUAGACUUCACGUGGACUCAAAGAAAAACAUCCAUAUUAUCUUCUUAAUUCAGAGAAUUAGAUGAAUUACUCAUUAAAAAAACACAUAAAUUUUCGAAAUAUCCGAGGCCCUAUAUUUUUUUUAUGUGUUUAGCCUUUACUUUAAGCACAAUCCCACCAAGUUUUGGAAUCCUCUAUUUAUUCCCCUGGGAUUGUUUCGGACUAUUUGUUUUCGCGAUUAUUUCAAUUAAAUAUUAAAGGGACAAAGAGAACAUUCUAAUGCGAAAUAUGUUGACUCCAACUCCAAUAAGACAAUUAUACACUUCACGGGUUUCGAACUGAUGCCAUUGGGGGAGAAGAGAAGGACCUCAACCACUGAGGUAACACCAAUUGUACAACUUUUAAAAUGAGGUAGAGCUAUAUAAAACGCAACGUUAAGUCCCUUACAGGGAACAAAGCAAACACAAGGAUACAAACAACAAAACUAAGAUAGGGCAGAGCAGUACCCAUUAGUUUAUCUAACAUAGUUAGGCACUCUCUAAUGAGCAAACUGGACAGAGCCAGAGUAAAUUGCAAGAAUAACUAGUACUAACCAUAAUUCAUUGAAAAUAGGUUAGCUAUAAUAUUCUUGAAGAUCUGGUUACGUGGCUAGGAAAAGAGCAUUUUCAGCAGCGCAAUUCUGUAUUGUGUUUGAUGAAAUGCAUUUUCCUCAGCCCACAAGUAUAUGACAUCCCCAGCAGCAAUGCCUCUCUCCUUGACAAAAACUCUCCAUUGUUUUGACUGGAAAACUGGUUUUCUGUGCUUGCCUUGUCUGCAAGAUAAAUAGAAUACAUAGACCUUACCCAUUUCGUCUAAGACUCUGACUGGGACAUCAUGCUCUGGAUCUAUAGGCGGCAAGAAUUCAAGCAUCCCCUUCGUCACUGCUAGUCUUUGAUUGACAUCAGAGGGUGAUAACUCUUUUUCACAACGCUCCAUUUCUCUCCGGCCAAGUUUGAGCACCAAACUAAAACUGUCAAGCUCCUUACGGACGUAGCUAGCUGCUUAUGUUGAGAAACUUGAACAGAAAGACUGAGUUCAUGAUAAUAUUGGCAUGAGAUGCAUGUAUAUAUAUAAGUAAAAAAGAGAGAGAGAGAGAGAGAGAGAGAGAGAGAGACCGCUCAUCGUUUGUCGGGAGGGGGGACCCAACAGAUCCGUCGUUAUUUAUGAAUCCAACUGUACAUAUACGUGUACAAUAGAUAGUCCACAUGAUUUUGCAUAGGUGUUACCCAACAGACCAAAUCAGUAGUUAUUUAUUACAUAAUGCCUAAUUAGGGUUAAGGAGCUUCGGAAAAUAAUUUUGCUGCUUGCGGCAGGACUUUAAUACUGAUUCCGAGAGAUGAUAAAGAACUUCAAUAUGUGCAUAGUCAUAGAGAGAUGAUGGAGAAGUUCAAUCUGAAAACAAAAGUACUUUACAAACUAGAUCCCCUAGGAUCUUAAUACCAUACACAUCAAAAUAAAUUCUAGAAACUACGAUCAUAGGAAAGUAUUGAACCAUAUACAAGUAGAUCUGGGAAUAUAACACACGAUCCGUUAAUAUGAUACUAAUUUGUACGAAAUUAUUAGCAUUUGGGUUGAGCUUAAUGGGUCGGAUUGAAAACUAGUGAACCUAUUAAGUUAACAGGUCGUGUCGGGUCUAUUUGCGAAUAUUCACUAUCCACCCGUUAAGGAGGGUAAUUUUAUAAUUUUGUAUCACAAUUCAUAUUAAAAAAAACAAAACACUCACCUAACUCUUUUUUUUUAUUUUUUUUAUUCUUCUUCUCUCUCACCGAAUCUCUCUCUCUCUCUCUCUCUCUUCACUUUAUUUUUUUAUUCUUCUCUAUCUCUCGAAUCUCUCUCUCUCUCUUCAUAGUUAGGCAUUCUCUCAAUAUCUUUUUCCUCUUAGUUUUCUUCUUCUUUCCUGGCACGGUUUCUUCUUAUUCCUGUUUCCUAGGUUUUCAUCUUUUUUAUUUAUUUUAUUUCCGUCUCUCUUCUGUAUACAUUUCCUUCUCUCUCUUUUUAGAAUCCAUCUUUUAUUUAGAUGUAAAAGUUGAGAACCAGCGAAGAAGUAUCUUCACUGUCCGUCAAUGCGGGUUGGGUUUUGAGGGGUGGUUAUGGUGUUUAUGAGAUGGAUAUUUGGGGGAGAAGACAGAGAUUUUAUUUUAUUUUUAUUUGUUGGUUUAUUCUUAACGGGUACUGUCGAAUAUUCACGAAUUGUAACGGGUCGUGUUGUGUUAACCCGCAAAAUUAACGAGUUGAUACGAACACGAUCCGAAACUCGUUAAUAUGACCCAUUUGCCUAAUACAAGUUAUUAUAAUUAAUCAGCUAGCUUAUUAGCUUCUCUGUAAAUAUGAGCAAUUGUUACUUGAGAAAACUUGUCCAACAGCUGCCAAAUACUAUUUGUGAACUUUACGGUGAUAGCAGAAUUGAAGGUGUCAUUAUUGUACUCAUCCAACUUGAACUUCCCUUGCACUGUCGAAAAGAAAAAAAGACAUCUUGCUUUUAAUUGUUAUUCUUAUAGAAGGGUGAUUCAUUGAUAUAAAAAAUUUAAUAGUUUGUUAUCAAAUAUAGAAGUCGCAGUGCCUAGAAACGCACAAAAAUAUAAUAACAUCCCGUAAUGCUGGAGAAACGAAUAUACGAAUUAAAAGCCAAUUAAAGCGCUCUUAUUUAUUUUGUUGGUUGAUUUCCCAAAAAACAAAAAAGUUUUUUGUUUUUUGUUUUUUCUUCUUCUUGACAUCAGAACCCACAUUGUUGAACUGUAGAGUGUCGUAUCAACAGAAAGAGUCUGAGUUGAUAAUAUUGGCAUUAUAUGCUGAGAGAGAGAGAGAGAGAGAGAGAGAGAGAGAGAGUGAAAUCUUAUAUUAAUUUAAUGCGUAACAUUAAGUGGCCAUAAGCUAUCACAGGUGGCAAAGCUUCGGCUAAUCACAUUAAGUGGCCAUACGCUAUCACAAGAGGCAAAGCUUCGGCUAAUAAUUUAAUGAGUAACAUUAAGUGGCCAUACGCUAUCACAUCCCGAACUGUUUAAUAUUUGUGUGGUUGGUAAGUUGAAUAUCUUUGUCGCUAGCGCCGGCACCCGGACACCCUAGAAAUUAUUACUUUGUUUUGGUCAAGCGGAGACCCUGGAAGUAGUUUUGAAUGUUCCCAAUGCAAAGUCAGAGCGUGCUUGGGAAAGAACACGCUGGUACGUGUACGUCCUAACAUGUGGGCUAAAAUUUCACAUCAGAAAAAUUUAGCUCAUCCAUCUUCCCCCAAAAAUAUAAAUUUAGCUCAUCACCACAUUUAAAUUAAAGGACACUAUAUUUUCUUCUAUAAUUUGUUUAUUAUUAUUUUUAGACUUAUUUAUGAAUAUGUCCCAUAUACUUUUAAAGUAGGCUCAAAUUACAAUAUGUUCUUUAAAAUAUCUCAAUAUACCACUUACACUUUUAAUAAAUAUCUUACGUUAGCUAUUCCGUCAAAUUUGAGAAAAAUUUCGUUAACUGACGUAAAUUACCUAACAAAGAAGAACAUGGAUAUUGUCAUCGUCUUACUUGUCCCUAUAAUCAAUCUCAAGAACUGAUUGCAACACUUGAUUGAAUCUCAAAAUCAUUGAGAUCCUUAAAAUGAGCCUAAUAUCAAACAUCUUUUAAUUAGAACAUAUAUUAUUUACUAGUUAAUUAUGCGGAACAUAUAAUCAUGUAAUGAUUGGAAGCUUCUACACACAUGCAUGCAUGCAUGCUCACGUACGAAUUCGAAUUGAGGGAUAUUAUUACAGUGACCUAAGCACACUGGAACAUCAUAACCUAUAUUACCUAACUCUCAGACUGGCAUUGGUUAGAUUUUCUUAUAUAGUACUUAAAAUAACAAGUUUUAACAUAUUUUGUACAGUUGUCAUUAUUGUUAUGAACAUGUCUUAGUCUUUUAGGAGAUCAUCUGUAAAUACUACUGUAUCAAUCAUUUUAUAAAAUAAUUAAUUAAUUAAUUUUGAGAAAGUUAUCGGUUUUCGUAGAUGCGAUAAAAAUACCAUCUAAUAAAAUUUGCAAGUUUUGAAAAAUUAGUACUUUUCAAAUUGUUUUUGGACGAAACAUAAAGUUUAAAGUUUAUCUAGAGUUUAGACAAUAGGAUUGUAUAUUUAUGUGAUUGACCUUUUGUUAAAUAUGUAAAAUUUGAUUGUUAUCUUUCACAUUAUUAAACUAUAUAGUCACCUUAAACCAAACAAGUUUAGUAUGGACCAAACGUACUACAGUAGUGGUCCAGUGUUGGCACUCCAGGUUGCAGGUCGGGGGUUUGAAAUUUCAUGCAUCCAACUUUUGCUAAUAUUUGGUUUUUUUUUAAAACAUUGAUUCAGUUCAAGUGAACCGGGAGUUUAGAUACUUGCAAACAUGAAAUCGUAUUCAGCUGAUUGGUCCAGUUUGGUUUUCUAUCGAGACAUUUUAAAAAAUAAAAAUAGAAAUCCGGCUGAAAAAUACUUAUCAGAUUGGUUUAUCCGAUUUGGAUAGCUUUCUGGUUCAAUUUGUUAAAAUAUGAAUAUGGUUUGAAUACUUUACGUUAGAUUUUAUUCUUCUCCAUAAGGAGGUAUAUAUAAGAGUUUACAUGAGUGUUUUAUAAGGAAAUAGAUACAAUAAUCUAUUAGGAUAGUAUCUCCUAAUUAUACAAUAAUUUGUCAACUAUAUAGAAUAUGAAAGUAAAUCCCUUAAUUAAUCAAGGAAAUAAAUCUCUUUGAUUAAUUAGGAGACUCACGUCAACACUCCUCUUCAAGUUGGUGCAUAUACAUCACCAAUGCCCAACUUGGUAAGUGAGUCAUGAAAUACUCUACCACAAACAGCUUUUGUUAAAAUAUCUGCCAGUUGAUCUUCUGAUUUUACGAAUGGUAGGCGGAUUAUCUUCUUCUCAAUUUUUUCUUUGAUAAAAUGUCUAUCAACCUCAGGAUGUUUGGCUCGAUCAUGUUGAACUGGAUUAUGGGCAAUAUUAAUAGCUGACUUGUUGUCACAAUGCAACUCCACUGGUUUUUCUGGCUUGAAGCCCAAUUCUGUCAAGAGUCUUUUGAUCCACAAUAAUUCAUAAACUCCGUGAGCCAUUCCUCGAUACUAUGCUCUUGCACUAGACCGAGAAAUCACAUUUUGCUUUUUACUCCGCCAAGUGACUAGGUUACCUCCCACGAAUAUAAAGUAAUCAGAAGUAGAGCGUCUAUCUAUAAUGGAACCACCCCAAUCAACAUCUGUAUAUCCAACAAUGUCUAGAUCUUUAUCUUGAGAACAUUAAUCCUUUCCCAGGGGCUGACUUUAAAUAUCUUAAGAUCCGAUCAACUGCAUUUCUAUGAGAAAUACUGGGCGAAUGCAUAAACUGACUAACCACACUCAUAGCAUAUGCAAUAUCUGGUCUUGUGUGUGCCAUGUAUAUCAACAUUUGAACAAGGCGUUGGUACUAUUCCUUAUUGGUUGGUUCUUGGUCCAUGUUUUCACACAACUUGUUAUUCAUCUCAAUGGGUGUGUCAGCAAGCUUACAUCCAAGCAUUCCCGUUUCAGUGAGUAGAUCCAUUACAUACUUCCUUUGAGACAGAAAUAUAUUAGUUUUUGACAUUGCUACUUCGAUUCCGAAAAAGUACUUCAAAUCACCUAAAUACUUCAUCUUAAAUUCCUAAGACAAAUACUUUUGCAACUUCAGUUGCUCUUCUGCGUCGUUUCUAGUUACGAUUAUGUCAUCUACAUAAAAAAUCAAUGCAGUAAGUUUUCCUUCAUCAUGCUUCAAGAACAUGGUGUGAUCUAAAUUACUCUGUGUAUAUCCAAAAUCUUCAUAAAUUUAGUAAAUCUGUCAAACCAUGCCCUGUGAGAUUGCUUUAACCCAUUUAAUGACUUCUUGAGCAUGAAAACUUGAUUUUUCUUGUCAGGAGCUGAAUUACAUCCUGCGGAUAAGUCCAUAUAUACUUAUUCCCAUUUUUGACAUCAAACUGAUAUAGUGGCCAAUCGAGAUUUGCUGCUAAAGACAAUAGGACUCUAAUAAUGUUAAUCUUGGUUACUGGGGCAAAGGUCUCCUCGUAGUCUAUCACAUAUCUCUGUGUGUACCCAUUCGCCACCAAUCUAGCUUUAUAUCUUUCAAUGGAUCCAUCUGCUUUGAGUUUCACAGUAUAAAUCCACAUGCAUCCUUCUAUCUUCUUUCCAUGAGGUAAGGGCACGAGUUCCCAUGUGACAUUCUUUUGGAGAGCUCGCAUUUCUUCAUUCAUAGCUUCUUUCCAUUUUGGGUCUUCUAAUGCUUCAGUUACACUGUUAGGGACAAAUAUGGCAGCCAACUGCUUCACAUAGUGCACACAUGACUUUGAUAAUCUGCUGAGAGAUAUAUAAUUAUUGAUGAGGUAUUUCCCUUUGGCUUUAAGAUCUGCUUUAUAUUGUACUCGAGGUUUGCCACGGUUCUUCCUGUUCGAAAGCUUAUAUGUGGGCUCUGUGCCUUCUGAAUCAAAUCAUCAUGGGAUAUUUCAUUAGUGUUAUAAGUUUCAAGAGAAGAUGUUACCUGAAUGACUUCCUCAGCAGUUGUAGGCCACACGAGAAGCCAAGUCCGCAUCGAAGUCAAACAUUUAAGCCCAACACGUGAACAUCACGUAGUGGGUAAAGGAUAUGGGUAAACAUUCAAGCCCAACAUGUGAACACCACAUAUUGGGUAAGGGUAAAUGACCAAUUCAAGCCCAGUCAAUUAACAUGGCUCUGAUACCAUGUUAAAAUAUGAAUAUGGUUUGAAUACUUUAGGUUAGAUUUUAUUCUUCUCCAGAAUGAGAUAUAUAUAGGAGUUUACAUGAGUGCUUUAUAAGGAAAUAGAUACAGUAAUAUAUUAGGAUAGUAUCUCAUAAUUAUACAAUAAUUUGUCAACUAUAUAGAAUAGGAAAGUAAAACCCUUAAUUAAUCAAGGAAAUAAAUCUCCUUGAUUAAUUAGAAAACUCACGUCAACACAAUUGUGUAGCCCUAAUUUUAACAUAUUAUUUACAGUUUUUUUUUUUUUUGAGAGAGAGAGAGAGAGAGAGAGAGAGAGAGAGAGAGAGAGAGAGAAAACACAAGACUUCGGCUUUCCGGUUCAAUUCCCUAAAAAUACUCUUCAAUUGACAUCGAUAGAAGCAAAUAGGUAGGACCCAAGCCUGCCACGUGGUAAUUAAUUAACGUCGAAACCAAAUUUCAAAAAGAAAAAGAAAAAAAGGAACAUUAUUGUGAAAAUUGAAAGUGCGUGCAGACAAACAUGUCUUACGGGUGAGAGUUUAGUGCACUAAAUUGAAAUUAGGUUUCACCUCCAGAUUGGAUCGAUUUCACCUCAAAACAAUAGUCGAACCAAUUACAACAUAACCAUUUCGUUCGAUUCGGUUCGAUUUUGACAAAAAUCAUGGAGAAAACCGAACAAUACCAAACCAAUUUAAGACGAUUUAGUUAAGCCAAUUUGGGCCUAAGCCCAAUUCUUUUUCCUUUUGCAUUUUUACAAUAUUGUUAGCCCAAUUACAACCCCAAAAUCCACAACUUCCUACAUUUUUUUUUUCUUUUCAUUUUCUAGCAUAUCAAACCAUCCUAAAAUUUCAAAGUUCAAUAACUAAUAGAUCUACCACUCAUAUAUCAAUAACUUCAAAUUCAACAUUCAUAUCUAGUUAUUAUCCAAUGAGAAGACUACACGUAUAUAAUAAAAUAAAGGACAUGCUACAAUAAACCCCCAACCUAUAAGGUCAUUUACGAGUUCAUAUCCGAUUUUGGGGACAUUUACUAGUACAUACUCAACGUCAUAGAAACCCUACAAUUUGCCUCAUUUGUUAGCGAAACUAUUAGUAAAUUUGUUAAAUGUUGGCGUGUCAAAAGUGAGAUCCUUUUUUUUUUUUUUUCUAAUGACGUGGACUUCCAUGUGGACAAAAAACUAAUAAAAAAUUAUGUACAUGUUAAAAAUAAUUUUUGAAUCAUAUUAAAAUUAUUAUAAAAUGAAUAAAAUAAAUAAAUACAUUCUCAUCUCUCUUCUCCAACCCAGCCAGCCACGAAUCCCAUCGCAUCCUGACAAACCACGAAUCCCAUCCGUCUUCACCUGCUCUGACUUAAUUGCCACCAAAUGGCUCAAGCAAGCGCUUAAGUCCUCCCCACCAAAACCACUGUUCUCGUCGGUGUCUCGGCUGAGAUGGACUACCCUUGGGGGUACAGGCGUAAUGAGGACGUGCCAUACAACAUCUCUGCCUCAACAUCGGCUCCCACUCCCUCAUCUACGGCUUCCCUUAAGACCGUGACAAGGGUUAGGGUCCGGGGGGUUCAAAGAGGAAAUUGGCGUUGGAGUUGGGGUCAGGCCACGAGGGCAGUGCGAAGGCAGAUAUGGUCGCCAUUGGAAGAGGGUCUGGAAGGAAUUUUUGAGGGUUGAUUUGAUGUUAGGAGCACGAAAUUGGAGAAAUGAGAGGAAAUUUUGGUGAAUUUAAGGAGAAGAAAGUGAAUAGUGUCCUUUUAUUUUUUUGGGUUGAAGGACAAUAGUGUCCUUGAGGUGCUAGGCUUCGUGUGAAAUUCAAAAUUGUGAAGCUUCAUCACCGGAUCCAGAUCCGGAACGCUGUCGACGUCAACAAUCUAGCGGUCAAGUCGCUGAAGAGAGACGACCUGGAUCUCGGCCAGUUCAGAGGGGCGAAGGCCUAUAACGAUGGGGAGGGAGAGAGGCUUGGCUAGGUUGGAGAAAAGAGAUAAUAGUUUCUUUUUUCUUUUUUUCUUUUUUAAUGAUUUUAAUAUGAUUUAAAAUUUAUUUUUAACAUGUACAUUAUUUUUUAUUUUAUUUUUGUCCACAUGGAAGUCCACAUGAUCAAAAAAAAGAAGGGGUCCCACUUUUGACACAUCAGCAUUUAACAGACUCGCUGACAGUUUAGCUAACGGAAUGGGCAAAUUAUAGGGUUUCAGCAACGUUGAGCACGUACUGAUAAAUGUCCCAAAAAUCGGGUAUGAACUUGUGAAUGACCCUAUAGGUUGGGGGGUUUACUGUAGUUUGUCCUAAAAUAAAAAUACAUAAAAAUAUAAAUAGACGGUCUGGUUCAAUUU